AUUAACUCUAUAUUUCUAAAUAUCAUGUUUCUUCUAUAGUUUUUAAAAUAAUUCUUAUCAUUUAUUAACUUAAUUCUGUGUAAGAAGACCAUGUAGCUGCCUUCUCCCCCACAAACACAUCCUCCCCCAUCCUCCCAAUAGGAUGAUAUCAUUUUUUGGUAAUCAUCAGUAUUCAGUAUUUACAGUAUUAUGAUUAUGUUAUUUUUAGGUUGACUUACAUAGCGCAUCAUGAUUUUAUUUCCUUUAUUGUAUAAUGGUGUCAUGUUAUAAUUACCAUGAUUUUGUCACUUUACUUGGUUUUCUAGGUAGCUAUCACUAUUUCAUCUCUGAGCUCUCUGGCAGAAUUAUAAUUUUUUUAAAAAUAUGUUGGCAUGUAUUGAAUUAUGUACUGGGUUAAUUCAUUUCUUGGCUCUCCUGCUCUAACCUGGUCUGCCACUAAUCUGUCACCCCGGACCUUCACCAUCAAUUUGGGAAUUCCCUCUGACUGCUACUGAAUUCAAUUCCUUGUUUCCUGGAUCUUGAGCAUCCUCUUUGAUGAUUUACUCUCUCACCGUGGUGGGGAACAUCCUUCAGUAGCUUUUGGAGUAAGGAUUUACAGAAAGCAAUGACUUUGAGGUCCUGUCUGUGUGAGAUGGUAUCCAUUAUAUCUUCACACUUGAUUAACGGUUUGGCUGAAUAUAAAAUCACAGAGUGGAAAUCACUCCCCACACCUGCCACCUCAGGAUUUUGACAGUGUUUUUCUAUUUCUACUUUUCCGUGUUGAGGUUGAGAAGUCUAGUGCCCUUCUAUUUCCUGCUUUUGGAAUAUGCGUGAGUGGAGACCCUUUCCACCUGUUGUUCUGCUAACUGGUGACAUUUUCAAUCUAGAAACUCAAGUGUGGAUUUAUUGCUUAAAUAAUUUUCCCCUCUCGAUUUCUCUUUUUUUGGGAACUUCUGCCAUCAAAAAAUUGCCUCUUCUUGCUAGUAUUAUAAUUUCACUAUAUUUUCUGUCAUUUCCCAUAUCUUUGAAGUUGGGUGCUUUUCUUUGGAAAUUCUGUUUUUUUUUACAGCCAUUCUUUUGAAUUGUUAUUUCUGUUACAUUGAUUUCAAUGUUCAAGAGUUUUCUUUCAUAUUUCUUCUUUAAUAAUUAUGCUUGUUUAAGCAUACAAUAUGUCAUAUGCCUGUGAGGAUGUUAGUUACA
rnacentral:lncRNA from 1 species